rnacentral:lncRNA from 1 species
AUAAUAACAUAGUGUAUAGAGAUAAAUGUCACAAUAACAUCAGAGUACUUAUUACAUAGUGGAAGUCUUACAAAAUAAAUUAUAAAUAUAAAUCGAACUAAAGUCCAUCCUUGGCGCCACAAAGUCAACUGGGAGACACCACCUAGAUCAAGACAAACUCCUCGUGGUGUGGCUCCUCUUGAACCACUUGUACUUCUCCUGUGGGGGGUGUGAGACAGCAGGGGUGAGCUCACACAUGUUCAUCGCUCAACAAGUUGUGGAGAAUAAUGUGGCAUGAACUCACCAAAGGUGGGAGUUCAUGUGAUGUGUAAGGCUAAUCAACAAAGUAAAGGUUGAAGCUGAGCAUUGCUUUUAUAAGUUGCUCAAAAUUUUAUUAUCAGUUACUAAGUGUAAAUAAAUACCAAACCAUAGUAAUAAUAAAUAAAAGUAAUAAUAAAAUAAUCCCAAUGCGAUGCAAAUGACAAAUUGAAUUUAAUUCUAUAAAUUAAUCAUGUGAGUGUCCAAGCCGCUCAUGACCGUGAGCAUGGCUAGUAUACCAGUUUUACACUCUGCAGAGGUUGCGCAACUUUACCCACAAGUCGUGUUACCCAUUUGCCACAAAAUUGAUCAGACCCCACACACCUCUACCAAGGAAGCGAGGCAGGGUACCACUACGAGGACUUUACAAAGUUCCACUAGCUUCAGAAAACCCGCUACAAUUUCUUGGAAGCUCCAGUACAGGGAUCCCUCGCCUGACCGCCAUCGCAGCAAAAUCAACCCAAGGACCUCCCUACAUUUACCACUCCCCUACUGCCCUUGGCCCUAUCGAGUAAGGUAGUCAUCCACUAGCUUUCCUAGUUACUCAGCCAAGGGCGUCCCAUACCACCCUUGUGGUAGCACUGUUUUCCCGGGUGGUGCUCCAUGUUCCCAUUUAUAAUAAUGAUCUUAUCAUGAAUAGUAAAUAAUAAACUGAUAAUAAAAAGUGUAAUCAUAAAGCAAUAGCAUAUACUACCCAAAAAUAUUCAGUGGUAGAACAAGUUAUAAAGAUAGCCAAAACUGGUGUAACCUAUUGGAUCUCAUCAAAAUUUACCUAUGCAGAUCAUUAUGAUUAAUAAUAACAUGACUGGGUAAAAAGGAAGUGAUCAAGGGCACAACUUGCCUUCAAUUAGCUCCUACUCAGCAGUCUCCACCUACUGAACCCCUGGAUCCUCUGUGGCUUGCUCGUCUACUUGCAUCAAUACAAACAUAUAUAGUAUAAAGGAGAAAUUAACAUCACACCAAACAUGUAAACAAAAUACACCUUAAUAAUCUACAUAUUAAAAUGAGAUCAUAAGAAAAAGAAUCAUUAAAUUUGGAGUUAUAGAUUUUAAGUUAUGAAUAUGUAUUUAAUACAAGAUUAACUAAGAAAUAAAUUUCAUUACCGUUUUCAUGUCAAAACAGUGGCACCAUUUGAUAGACAAUAAUAUUACAAAAUUAUAGGAACUGGAAUGGAUUAAUGUGGACUAAGCAUGAAUUUUCUACAAAUUAAACAAGUUCUAACAUUUACUUAUACAUUAAAAAUCAAUUUCUGUUAUUAAUUUCCUAUUUUCAUUUUUCUCUGGAUUGGGCGUCAAUUACUGAAAAGUGCAUGGGCCUCUGCGCAGGUAUUCCCAAGACUUAGACAACCCCGGCUAUGGACUGUGGGUUGAAUCCAAAAUUCCUAGGGUCUCUUUUGCAAAGGUUACAAUCGAACGGGUAUUGUGAGAUUUGGGCCGUCCGAUUACCCGAGGAUGGCACGGAUUAGAUCCUACUCAAAAUGAACCGGUAUUCUAUUCCCGCCCUUAGAUCAGAAUCUAACCGCCCACGAUCGAUACACAGAUUGCAACGCGGGGCCGGAUCCAUCCGCUAGUUUCCAAAAGGACGGUCACGAUCCGAUGGCGACUGAUUGCCAUUCACACCUAAUCAUGCUCGUCCAAACAGGAUCCAACGACCCCAGCCUCAUCACCAACCUCCUGCCAGCACAUCGAGCGGCGCCACUGUCAUCUCAACGGAGUAAGCCCCGCCGGAGCUAGCAACACCAUCAGAUACGCCAUACGGUUCUAACGAGCAUGUCCGAGGACCGACCGCCAAGAAUCUGCCAGCCAAUCUAUAUGAAUCAGCCCGCCAAGACUCCACUGCGCCCAAGCAAGGCGGCACGGCAACAUAGCCCACCACUGGCGAGCAAUUCAGCUCCCACCAGAACCUAAUCGUGUUUCCUAAUAGGCGCCCGAGAUUGCGGAGACGAGAACGGAUACGAUGGAGGGUACCUCAACGGCGAAGGAAGCAGUGACGUUGAUAGCCUAGGAAUCAAUUGAACCGGUCGCCGUUCUUGACUCCGAGAGUGAUUUCGCAACCACACCUCCCCGUCUCCCCUUGCUAGGCUCCGAUUCCGCCCCGCGGACUUUGCGAAACGCCACGGCCAAUGCCGACACACUAGACGACAGUGUAGAGGAUGUACCGCGGCGGUGGCGAUUUUCAGCACACCGCACGGUGCUCACGACGACGUGGGUCUCGAAAAGGAUAGGGCCAC